UGGUGGAGUGAUUUGUCUGCUUAAUUGCGAUAACGAACGAGACCAUCGCUGCUAAAUAGCCCGCGCCGCCUUGGCGGCACGCCGGCUUCUUAGCAGGACUAUCGGCUCAAGCCGAUGGAGGUCGUUGGCAAUAACA
rnacentral:rRNA from 1 species